GGCGGCGUGCUUAACACAUGCAAGUCGAACGGUGAAGCUCCAGCUUGCUGGGGUGGAUGAGUGGCGAACGGGUGAGUAACACGUGAGUAACCUGCCCCCUUCUUCUGGAUAACUGCUUGAAAGGGUAGCUAAUACGGGAUAUUCUGGCCUGCUCGCAUGGGUGGGUUUGGAAAGGUUUUUUCUGGUGGGGGAUGGGCUCGCGGCCUAUCAGCUUGUUGGUGGGGUGAUGGCCUACCAAGGCGGUGACGGGUAGCCGGCCUGAGAGGGUGGACGGCCACACUGGGACUGAGACACGGCCCAGACUCCUACGGGAGGCAGCAGUGGGGAAUAUUGCACAAUGGGCGCAAGCCUGAUGCAGCGACGCCGCGUGAGGGAUGGAGGCCUUCGGGUUGUAAACCUCUUUCGCCAGUGAAGCAGGCCAUCUUCUUUGUGGGGUGGUUGACGGUAGCUGGAUAAGAAGCGCCGGCUAACUACGUGCCAGCAGCCGCGGUAAUACGUAGGGCGCGAGCGUUGUCCGGAAUUAUUGGGCGUAAAGAGCUCGUAGGCGGCUGGUCGCGUCUGUCGUGAAAUCCCCUGGCUUAACUGGGGGCUUGCGGUGGGUACGGGCCGGCUUGAGUGCGGUAGGGGAGACUGGAAUUCCUGGUGUAGCGGUGGAAUGCGCAGAUAUCAGGAGGAACACCGGUGGCGAAGGCGGGUCUCUGGGCCGUUACUGACGCUGAGGAGCGAAAGCGUGGGGAGCGAACAGGAUUAGAUACCC
rnacentral:rRNA from 1 species